CCUACGGGAGGCAGCAGGGGGGAAUAUUGCACAAUGGGCGCAAGCCUGAUGCAGCAACGCCGCGUGAGGGAUGACGGCCUUCGGGUUGUAAACCUCUUUUAGCAGGGAAGAAGCGAAAGUGACGGUACCUGCAGAAAAAGCACCGGCUAACUACGUGCCAGCAGCCGCGGUAAUACGUAGGGUGCAAGCGUUGUCCGGAAUUAUUGGGCGUAAAGAGCUCGUAGGCGGUUUGUCACGUCUGCUGUGAAAAUCCAAGGCUCAACCUUGGACUUGCAGUGGGUACGGGCAGGCUAGAGUGCGGUAGGGGAGAUGGGAAUUCCUGGUGUAGCGGUGGAAUGCGCAGAUAUCAGGAGGAACACCAAUGGCGAAGGCACAUCUCUGGGCCGUAACUGACGCUGAGGAGCGAAAGCGUGGGGAGCGAACAGGAUUAGAUACCCUGGUAG
rnacentral:rRNA from 1 species